AUGCAAAUAAGCUUGAACAAGGGGGUUUUGGGCCAAUUUACAAGGGCAAGUUUCCAGAAGCGCAAGAGAUUGUGGUAAAGAGACUCUCAAGAGCUUCAGGACAAGGCCCCAAGGAAUUUAAGAAUGAGGUGUUAAUUGCCAAACUUCAGCAUCAGAACAUGUUUAGACUUUUGGCUAUUGUAUUGAAGGAGAUAAGAAGAUCUUACUCUAUGAAUAUAUGUCCAACAAAAACUUAGACUCCUUCAUAUUUGCGGUUCAACAUCAUUUUGGGAAUUGCUCAAGGACUACUUUAUCUUCACCAAGAUUCAAGAUUGAAGAUUAUUCGUAGAAACUUGAAAACA